GAACACAAAAUGGCGACACGUGGCUAGCAUUCGUCGCCAACGAGAAAUUGGGGUCGGCCCGAAAGCUCUGGAAUAAAACCCCACAGGCUGGUCUGAAGCUCGGAAGCCUAAUUUUAACGCGUUUCCCUCCCUUUAAUUUGAAACGGGAACGCGAAUAACUGUAAAAUAGGAAGACACUUAAACAUAAAGAUGAAGUGCCUAAUUCAAGGUCACACAAUGUCGGGGAUGGACCUCCAGAUUUCCUUACUGACCUGCAUUAUCUGUGGAUAUCUGAGUGAAUUACACACCACCCAUUUUAUAGAUGAAGCCACUGAGACAUGGAGCAACUGACUGAGUAGUCACUGCACCACCCCUGGAGCCUCACACAUGACUCGUCUCCUCUCUCUCAGUGACCACAGUUACUUAUCCUGUAUUACAUGAGGGAAAUGAAACAAAAAGACUACAGCCCCACUCCCAGCUACUCCGUGAGGUGGUAGCUAGGUGACAACCCAGAGGCUCUAAGAAAGGGGUCCCCAACCCUAGUCUGUGGCUCAUUAGGAACAGGUUGCACAGCAGGAGAGACAGAGUCUUCUUGCUAUGUUGCCCGGGCUGGUCUUGAACUCCUCGCCUCAAGCAAUCCUCCCGUCUUGGCCUCCCAAGUGUCAGGAUUACAGGUAAGACAUGGUCUUGUACCACAGUGGUUAAGAAUGUGACUUUGGAGCCAGCCUGCUAGGGGAUGAAUUCUGACUCAGCCAUUUACUAACUGGGUGACCUUAGAUCCGGCGAGCCAACUGGAUGUCUUUGGGCAUGAUGGUGACUCCCUUAGCGUGGAUGACACACAGAUUAGUAUCUUUGAACAGACCCACCAGGUCACACAGUUUUCCACACUCCUUGAUGGAGGUGCUUAAACCCUAUCCAUCAGCAUUCUUGGACAGCAUCUCUGGUUAGGGACAGUAUCUGACCGUCUGACAUCCCUGCACCCCCCAUACUGUCAGCCUCAGGUGGAUGGUUUCCUUAGAUGGUGGCUUUCUUUGGACCCUUGAUAUCAACCAGUUACUAUUUGUUUGAGGAUCUGGUGCCAUAAGCCUACUGAUGCGGAACGCUGGAAGCAGAAUGCGGUUAGGGACGGUGCUCGGAGGAGCUGUGCCACCAACCCCACACAUACGCCAACCCUGGGCCGGGGGGCCCAGUUGUGCAGGAGAGGGGCAGGCAAAUGGGAGGGCCUUCGUCUUGGCGGCCAUGGCCAGAGGUGGGGGGUUGGGGGGUCGGGGGAUGGAGGCCUCAGUCCCUGCCCUCACCAGGUGGCAGGGAGCAGGAGGCAGGCUGACCCACUUAGAGACUGGCUCCUUUCAAAGCAGCGUGGUUGUGACGGGGUGCAGUAAGUGGGUCAGCCUGCAUAUAUCCAUGGGUCUUAAACUCUUCAACACUUGGCUGUUAAACAUCUAGAUCCUGCUUUCAUUAGCUUGUAAGCUGUGGCCAUGGGGACCUGCCUAGUCUUCUGAAGCAGCAAGUGUGUCCAGAGGCUAACAAACAGCAGGUGCCUCAAAUAAAUAGGAUUUUAAUACUCGAUGUAAAUGUGGGUGCAAAUAAAUACAUGAAAUGAAA
ensembl:lncRNA